UACGUAGGUGGCGAACGUUAUCCGGAGUUACUGGGCGUAAAGGGUCCGCAGGCGGGCCGUUAAGUCUGGCGUGAAAUCUUCCGGCUCAACUGGAAGAGGUCGUUGGAAACUGACGGUCUAGCAUCCCGCAGAGGUCGGCGGAAUUCCCGGUGUAGUGGUGGAAUGCGUAGAGAUCGGGAGGAACCUCGAAAGCGAAGGCAGCCGGCUAGGCGCGGAUGGACGCUGAGGGACGAAAGCGUGGGGAGCGAACAGG
rnacentral:rRNA from 1 species